GACGAACGCUGGCGGCGUGCCUAAUACAUGCAAGUCGAACGCUUCUUUCCUCCCGAGUGCUUGCACUCAAUUGGAAAGCGGAGUGGCGGACGGGUGAGUAACACGUGGGUAACCUACCCAUCAGAGGGGGAUAACACUUGGAAACAGGUGCUAAUACCGCAUAACAGUUUAUGCCGCAUGGCAUAAGAGUGAAAGGCGCUUUCGGGUGUCGCUGAUGGAUGGACCCGCGGUGCAUUAGCUAGUUGGUGAGGUAACGGCUCACCAAGGCCACGAUGCAUAGCCGACCUGAGAGGGUGAUCGGCCACACUGGGACUGAGACACGGCCCAGACUCCUACGGGAGGCAGCAGUAGGGAAUCUUCGGCAAUGGACGAAAGUCUGACCGAGCAACGCCGCGUGAGUGAAGAAGGUUUUCGGAUCGUAAAACUCUGUUGUUAGAGAAGAACAAGGACGUUAGUAACUGAACGUCCCCUGACGGUAUCUAGCCAGAAAGCCACGGCUAACUACGUG
rnacentral:rRNA from 1 species